CGUCCUAUAGUACAAUGGAUCAGUGUGUUUGGCUGUUAACCAGAAGGUUGGUUGUUUGACCCCACCUAGGGAUGG